rnacentral:tRNA from 1 species
AUUUACAUAUCUUACAUAGAGUAUUAUAUUGAAGCUAUAAUUGAGACACUGUCUGUAAAUA